rnacentral:rRNA from 1 species
GACGAACGCUGGCGGCGUGCUUAACACAUGCAAGUCGAACGAAGUGGCGAACGGGUGAGUAACGCGUAAUCAACCUGCCCUUCAGAGGGGGACAACAGUUGGAAACGAUGGCUAUUCCCCCAAACUAAAGAGGGGGAUUGCGUCGGAUUAGCUAGUGGGAGGGGUAACGGCCCACCAAGGCGAUGAUCAGUAGCCGGUCUGAGGGGAUGAACGGCCACAUUGGGACUGGGACACGGCCCAGACUCCUACGGGAGGCAGCAGUGGGGAAUCUUCCGCAAUGGACGAAAGUCUGACGGAGCAACGCCGCGUGAGUGAUGACGGCCUUCGGGUUGUAAAGCUCUGUUAAGCGGGACGCGGUACCGGAAUAGAAAGCCACGGCUAACUACGUGCCAGCAGCCGCGGUAAUUC